rnacentral:lncRNA from 1 species
AAUUACUGUAAUGGGCCAAAUCUGCCCGGGCCCAACAACCAAAAAUCAAUCCCAAAACAAAAACAAAAAAUAAUACAAAGUCCACAAGUCCAAAUUACAUAACCCAAUUUUAAACCCAAAAAAUUACAAACCCAAACCCAAAUUUAAAACCCAAAGCCGAAUUAACCUUAGCCUAAUACUCAAGGGCAGAAAAAUCUAAACACCCAGUCAAACAGAAACCCUAGGGUUUCUGCUAGGCCCCACAAUAGCCCCUAGCAUUACCAUCGCUCGCGCCUCUACGUUGACACACCUAGUACCUCCAUACGAUGCCAGCAAACUCUGUACCUGCAAGCAAAUGCAAAAACAACAGCGAAACAGACACAAAAAAAGGGAGAUUUUUUGUAUUCUUUUUCUUUAUUUUGCUUUCGGCUACAAAAGCCAAAGAAGGGGGGAUGUAAUUUGGGACAGAGAUCAAGAACAAAAAAAUCAAUACAAAAAAAAGAAAAAAAAAACAGAUUCACAAAGUAAUGAGAAAAACAAAAGUUUUUAAAGGUGGUGCCUUUAUCUUCAAUUUAUUCAUUUUUAUAUCGAUUUCCCUUAUUUUCUAUUGAUUAGAAGAAAGAAAUAUAAGAGGGGGAGAAAAAGAGAACGAAAAUCUCACCUGGGUUUCGUUUGUUGCCACCGUGAUGGCCUUUUUUCUCACCGGAAUCAGCGUUCAGAUGAAGGGGUUUGAGAGCAUUUAGUG